UGCCAGCCGCCGCGGUAAUACGGAGGGUCCAAGCGUUGUUCGGAAUUAUUGGGCGUAAAGCGGGUGUAGGCGGUCGAGUAAGUCGGGUGUGAAAGCCCUGGGCCCAACCCAGGAAUUGCACUCGAUACUGCUAGACUAGAGUCCCGGAGAGGAUGGCGGAAUUCCAGGUGUAGAGGUGAAAUUCGUAGAUAUCUGGAGGAACACCAGUGGCGAAGGCGGCCAUCUGGACGGUGACUGACGCUCAGACCCGAAAGUGUGGGGAGCAAACAGGAUUAGAUAC
rnacentral:rRNA from 1 species